UUCUCUACAAAUUUGUUCUCAAAAUUUCCAUUUUGUCUCGAGAAACUUUAUCAACGGAUUUUUAUCGUCGUUUUACGGGAUUUCAUUUAAUUAGAAGAAAAAAGUUUCUAUAUAAAGUAUAAAGUAUACGUAGUUAAUGGCUUGGGACAUAAAACACUAUUCUGGGGGCGCUCUAAGCUCUUGUUAGUUCCACAUACAACGUUAUUAUUGAGUCGUCUCUGAGAAAUGCCUUGCGGUGUUAUUACGAGAGAGCCGUGGUUUGCAAGGGUCACUGAUUGAAAUUUACAUUCGGGAGACAAGCUUAGAAUGGAGAUGGGAUAAUUAUUUGGGUCCACCUUAAGGAGCUUACAACUUAUUUUAAUAUAGAUUAACGUACAUAAUACCACAGGUAGGAUAGAAUCACUGGACAACACAGGUACAACAUUUCGAGAUUCAUGGAAUCACAUCACACAGAUGAAUGCACCCGUUGUCAUUGAUUUUACCUUUACAAAAUAAUUUUGUUAACAUCUGCUAUAGUGGUAAUUUUAAAAUAAAUGGGUGUAAAAAAAGUUA
rnacentral:lncRNA from 1 species